rnacentral:sRNA from 1 species
CGUGGCUGGCAGGUGAGAACGUUGAAAAAUAUGUCUCAGUAUACCAAGAUUGGUCAGGUCCAGUACAGUCCAUUUCUCAGGUGAAAAUGAUGAUUGAGUCACCCAGUGCACCACGAGGUUAAGGUGUGAAAAUUUAUUUUUCAAGUAGAUGAUGGAUGGGUGGGGUGGCAUGGCAAGUUUUUAGGUCCCGCUAUAAUUGUAUAACAGUGAUGAUUAAAUUUUCAACGAACCUUGGAAAACCAAUCGGGCUAAUAUCAUCGGAAAGUUUCAUCCCAGUAAAAAAAAAAAAGAAAGAAAAAAGAAAAAAAAGAGGGAAAAAAAGGUGGACGUACAGGUUCGGCGGGGGAAUAACCGACAAAAAAUGGCGGAUAUAUCAAAAAUUCGUUCAUGCAACAAUUUUCUCGGAUAAGAGCAAGGUAGCCG